rnacentral:rRNA from 1 species
UACGUAGGGCGCAAGCGUUAUCCGGAAUUAUUGGGCGUAAAGAGCUCGUAGGCGGUUUGUCGCGUCUGCCGUGAAAGUCCGGGGCUCAACUCCGGAUCUGCGGUGGGUACGGGCAGACUAGAGUGCAGUAGGGGGAGACUGGAAUUCCUGGUGUAGCGGUGAAAUGCGCAGAUAUCAGGAGGAACACCGAUGGCGAAGGCAGGUCUCUGGGCUGUAACUGACGCUGGAGGAGCGAAAGCAUGGGGGAGCGAACAGG